GACGAACGCUGGCGGCGUGCCUAAUACAUGCAAGUAGAACGCACAGUUUAUACCGUAGCUUGCUACACCAUAGACUGUGAGUUGCGAACGGGUGAGUAACGCGUAGGUAACCUGCCUGGUAGCGGGGGAUAACUAUUGGAAACGAUAGCUAAUACCGCAUAAUAUUGAUUAUUGCAUGAUAAUUGAUUGAAAGAUGCUAUUGCAUCACUACCAGAUGGACCUGCGUUGUAUUAGCUAGUAGGUGAGGUAACGGCUCACCUAGGCGACGAUACAUAGCCGACCUGAGAGGGUGAUCGGCCACACUGGGACUGAGACACGGCCCAGACUCCUACGGGAGGCAGCAGUAGGGAAUCUUCGGCAAUGGACGAAAGUCUGACCGAGCAACGCCGCGUGAGUGAAGAAGGUUUUCAGAUCGUAAAGCUCUGUUGUAAGAGAAGAACGGGUGUGAGAGUGGAAAGUUCACACUGUGACGGUAUCUUACCAGAAAGGGACGGCUAACUACGUG
rnacentral:rRNA from 1 species